GGACGGCAGCACGGGAGCAAUCCUGGUGGCGAGUGGCGAACGGGUGAGUAAUACAUCGGAACGUGUCCUGGAGUGGGGGAUAGCCCGGCGAAAGCCGGAUUAAUACCGCAUACGCUCUGAGGAGGAAAGCGGGGGAUCUUUCGGGACCUCGCGCUCAAGGGGCGGCCGAUGGCAGAUUAGGUAGUUGGUGGGGUAAAGGCCUACCAAGCCGACGAUCUGUAGCUGGUCUGAGAGGACGACCAGCCACACUGGGACUGAGACACGGCCCAUACUCCUACGGGAGGCAGCAGUGGGGAAUUUUGGACAAUGGGGGCAACCCUGAUCCAGCAAUGCCGCGUGUGUGAAGAAGGCCUUCGGGUUGUAAAGCACUUUUGUCCGGGAAGAAAUCCCUUUCGAUAAUACCGGAGGGGGAUGACGGUACUGGAAGAAUAAGCACCGGCUAACUACGUGCCAGCAGCCGCGGUAAU
rnacentral:rRNA from 1 species